CCCGCACAAGCGGUGGAGUAUGUGGUUUAAUUGGAUGCAACGCGAAGAACCUUACCUGGUCUUGACAUCUCAAGGAUCUCCUGGAAACAGGAGAGUGCUUUCUUUCGAAAGAACUUGAAGACAGGUGCUGCAUGGCUGUCGUCAGCUCGUGUCUUGAGAUGUUGGGUUAAGUCCCGCAACGAGCGCAACCCUCGCCAUUAGUUGCCAUCAUUUAGUUGGGCACUCUAAUGGGACUGCCGGUGUCAAACCGGAGGAAGGUGGGGAUGACGUCAAGUCCUCAUGGCCUUUAUGACCAGGGCUACACACGUACUACAAUGGCCGAUACAAAGGGCAGCCACAGGGUGACCUGGAGCAAAUCCCAUAAAGUCGGUCUCAGUCCGGAUCGGAGUCUGCAACUCGACUCCGUGAAGUUGGAAUCGCUAGUAAUCGUGGAUCAGCAUGCCACGGUGAAUACGUUCCCGGGCCUUGUACACACCGCCCGUCACACCACGGAAGUUGGUUGUACCAGAAGUAGUUGAGCGAACCUUCGGGGCGCAGACUACCCAGGUAUGGCUGGUAACUGGGGUGAAGUCGUAACAAGGUA
rnacentral:rRNA from 1 species